AUGGGAGAGUUUGGAAUUUGGAUCAACAGUCACAAACAAUCAGCUGAUAUGUUCAGCUACCAUAAGCUUUGUCAGCUUGCAAAUGGAGAAUUCAAAUACUUGUUCCUGUGA